UACGAAGGGGGCUAGCGUUGCUCGGAAUCACUGGGCGUAAAGCGCACGUAGGCGGCUUGUUAAGUCAGGGGUGAAAUCCUGGAGCUCAACUCCAGAACUGCCUUUGAUACUGGCGAGCUUGAGUCCGGGAGAGGUGAGUGGAACUGCGAGUGUAGAGGUGAAAUUCGUAGAUAUUCGUAAGAACACCAGUGGCGAAGGCGGCUCACUGGCCCGGUACUGACGCUGAGGUGCGAAAGCGUGGGGAGCAAACAGG
rnacentral:rRNA from 1 species